rnacentral:rRNA from 1 species
GGUGAACGCUGACAGAAUGCUUAACACAUGCAAGUCUACUUGAUUCUACUUCGGUAGUUGAUGGUGGCGGACGGGUGAGUAACGCGUAAAGAAUCUGCCCUUUAGUUUGGGAUAACCUUUGGAAACGAAGGUUAAUACCGGAUAUUAUGGAGACGUCGCAUGGCGACUCCAUGAAAGCUAUAUGCGCUAGAGGAGGACUUUGCGUCCCAUUAGUUAGUUGGUGAGGUAAUGGCUCACCAAGACCGCGAUGGGUAGCCGGCCUGAGAGGGUGAUCGGCCACAAGGGAACUGAGACACGGUCCUUACUCCUACGGGAGGCAGCAGUGGGGAAUAUUGGACAAUGGGCCACAAGCCUGAUCCAGCAAUUCUGUGUGCACGAUGAAGGUCUUCGGAUUGUAAAGUGCUUUCAGUAGGGAAGAAAAAAAUGACGGUACCUACAGAAGAAGCGACGGCUAAAUAUGUGCCAGCAGCCGCCGUAAUAC